rnacentral:snRNA from 1 species
GGGCUCACUUCAGUAGCACAAACAUGAAAAUUGGAACAAUACAGAGAUCAGCCCAGCCCUUGAGCAAGGAUAACAUGAAAAUACAUAAAGUUUUCCAUAAAAAA